rnacentral:rRNA from 1 species
UACGUAGGGUCCGAGCGUUGUCCGGAAUUAUUGGGCGUAAAGGGCUCGUAGGCGGUUCGUCACGUCGGGAGUGAAAACUCGGGGCUUAACCCCGAGCCUGCUUCCGAUACGGGCAGACUAGAGGUAGGCAGGGGAGAGCGGAACUCCUGGUGUAGCGGUGGAAUGCGCAGAUAUCAGGAGGAACACCGGUGGCGAAGGCGGCAUCCUGGACCGACACUGACGCUGAGGAGCGAAAGCCAGGGGAGCAAACGGG